rnacentral:lncRNA from 1 species
CAACUUCCGAGGCGCCCUCAUUGCCAGCCGGACCCCAGCCUCCGACAGGUUCGGGCGCCCUGCUUGCCCCGUGCUUCGCCGGCCCCCGCCCAGCGCCCGGCCCCUCCGGCUCCACUCCGCUCGCUCGGUCGGUCGCUCCGACGCCAUGGACACGUUUUGGUGGCGCGCAGCUUGGGGACUCUGCCUCGUGCAGCUGAGCCUGGCGCAGAUCGAUCUGAAUAUAACCUGCCGAUAUGCAGGCGUAUUCCACGUGGAGAAGAAUGGUCGCUACAGCAUCUCCAAGACUGAGGCUGCCGACCUCUGCAAGGCCUUCAAUAGCACGCUGCCCACCAUGGCCCAGAUGGAGGUGGCCCGGAGCAUAGGGUUUGAGACCUGCAGGUACGGGUUCAUAGACGGGCAUGUGGUGAUUCCCCGGAUCCACCCCAAUUCCAUCUGUGCUGCGAACAACACAGGGGUUUACAUCCUCACAUCCAACACCUCCCAGUAUGACACGUACUGCUUCAAUGCCUCAGCUCCACUUGGAGAAGACUGUACCUCAGUCACGGACCUGCCCAAUGCCUUUGAAGGACCCAUUACCAUAACUAUUGUAAACCGCGAUGGCACCCGUUAUACCAAGAAAGGCGAAUACAGAACGAACCCCGAAGACAUCAACCCCAGCAUCGUGAGCCCCAGCAGCCCUCCUGAUGAUGAGAUGAGCAGUGGCUCCCCCAGCGAGAGAAGCACGUCAGGAGGCUACAGCAUCUUCCACACGCACCUCCCAACUGCGUACCCACCCCCAGACCAAGACAGCCCCUGGGUCUCCAGCAAACCAGAGAAUACCUCGGAUACCACCCAGGCACCCACUACUAGUACAGCAGAAGAAACAGCUACCCAGAAAGAGCAGUGGUUUGAGAAUGGAAGGCCUGGGGAAUAUCCCCAAACACCAAAAGAAGACUCUCAUUCAACAGCAGGGACAACUGUCACAGCAGCCUCAACGCAUGUCAGCCAUCCCCGUCAAAGAGUGACAACGCAGAGCCAAGAGGACAGUUCCUCGACUUACUUCUUCGACCCAGUCUCGCAUCCAAUGGGGCGAGGUCAUCGAACAAAAGGAAGGAUGGAUACAGACACCAGCCCUAGUACAACGCUUCAGCCUUCUGCAGAUCCAAACACGAGUUCGGUGGGAGACUUGGACAGGACAGGACCUCUCUCAAUGACAACUCAGCAGAGUGAUACUCACAGCUUCUCUCCAUCGCAUGGCGGCUUAGAAGAAGACAAAGGCCACUCAACGACUGCUACUCCAACAUCUAUCAAUAGGAACGAUGGAAGAAGAGGUGGAAAUCUUCCUGAAGAUGCAACUACUUCAGUGGAAGGUUACACUCAUUCUCCAGAUACAAAUGAAUACACAACCCUCACCCCAAUGACCCCCACUAAGACUGGGUCCCCUGGAGUUACUGAAGUUACUGUUGUUGGAGAUUCCACCUCUAAGGCUGAUCUUACUUUACCAGGAGACUAUGGCUCGUCCCACGACCCCAGUGGAAGGUCCUAUACAACUCAUGCAUCUGAAUCAGCUGGACACUCAAGUGGGAGUGAAGACCAUGGGGCAAACACAACCUCAGGUCCUAUACGGAAACCUCAAAUUCCGGAAUGGCUGAUCAUCUUGGCAUCUCUCCUGGCCUUGGCUUUGAUUCUCGCGGUUUGCAUUGCUGUCAACAGUAGGAGAAGGUGUGGGCAGAAGAAAAAACUGGUGAUCAACAAUGGGAAUGGAACCAUGGAGGAGAGAAAGCCUAGCGGACUCAACGGAGAAGCUAGCAAGUCUCAGGAGAUGGUGCAUUUGGUGAACAAGGGGUCGUCAGAGACCCCAGACCAGUUUGUGACGGCAGAUGAGACACGGAACCUGCAGAAUGUGGAUAUGAAGAUUGGGGUGUAACACCUACUCUGUGACCUUGGAAAUAAACCACCAUUGGAGACACAACCAUUACAGGGAGCUGGGACACUUCACAGAUGCAGUGUGCUACUGAUUGUUUCAUUG